rnacentral:lncRNA from 1 species
UCGGUCGGUCGGUGGGUAUUCCCCAACAGUUGCCCCCCUCCACUCCUGAGUCGGACGGUGAGCUGGCCGAUGCCAUUGCUUGGACAGCGACGCUGGGCGACAAGGAGUGGAAUCACUGUGUGCUCAAUUCCGACCGUACCACGGGUUGAUGCGAUGUCAGGCGUCCUAUGAAUGCCUUGUGAUCCGCUGGCGUAAGGCGUCCAGUCGGUGUCAGGUGUCACGUCGGCGUCAGGUGUCACAUCGGCGUCAAGUGUCACGUCGGCGUCAGGUGUCACGUCGGCGUCAGGUG